CAAUAGCGUAUACUAAUGUUGUUGCAGUUAAAAAGCUCGUAGUCGAACUUCUGGUAGGAGUGUCCCGGCCUUUUUGUUUUUACAAAUUGUAUGCUGUGUGACAUCUCUGGCCAUCCUUCUUCUUUGUUUAAAGAAGAUCUUUCACUGUAAAAAAAUUAGGGUGUUCAAAGCAAAAGUUUCUUUGGAAUAUAUUAGUAUGGGAUGAUAAGAUAGGCUCUAGAUGCUAUUUUGUUGGUUUGCACAUUUAGAGAAUGAUUAACAGGGACAGUUGGGGGUAUUCGUAUUUACAUGUCAGAGGUGAAAUUCUUGGAUUUUGGAAAGACGAACUACUGCGAAAGCAUUUACCAAGGAUGUUUUCAUUAA
rnacentral:rRNA from 1 species